rnacentral:rRNA from 1 species
UACGUAGGGUGCAAGCGUUGUCCGGAAUUACUGGGUGUAAAGCGCGUGUAGGUGGCAGGCCAAGUCUGUUGUGAAAUCGCCCGGCUCAACUGGGCGCGGUCAAUGGAAACUGGUCAGCUGGAGGACGGUAGAGGCGAGUGGAAUUCCCGGUGUAGUGGUGAAAUGCGUAGAGAUCGGGAGGAACACCAGUGGCGAAGGCGGCUCGCUGGGCCGGUCCUGACACUGAGACGCGAAGGCGUGGGGAGCGAACGGG